rnacentral:rRNA from 1 species
UACGGAGGGGGCAAGCGUUGUUCGGAAUUACUGGGCGUAAAGGGCGCGCAGGCGGCUGCUCAAGUCAGGCGUGAAAGGCCUGGGCUCAACCCGGGAAUUGCGCUUGAGACUGGGCUGGCUUGAGUGCGGGAGAGGAUGGUGGAAUUCCCAGUGUAGAGGUGAAAUUCGUAGAUAUUGGGAAGAACACCGGUGGCGAAGGCGGCCAUCUGGACCGCAACUGACGCUGAGACGCGAAAGCGUGGGGAGCAAACAGG